GACGGAGGAUGCAAGUGUUAUCCGGAAUCACUGGGCGUAAAGCGUCUGUAGGUUGUUUAAAAAGUCUGCAGUUAAAGGUUGAAGUUUAACUUCAAAAAUGCCGUAGAAACUUUUAAACUAGAGGAUGGUAGGGGUAGAGGGAAUUUCCAGUGGAGCGGUGAAAUGUGUAGAUAUUGGAAAGACCACCGAUGGCGAAGGCACUCUACUGGGCCAUGACUGACACUGAGAGACGAAAGCUAGGGGAGCAAAUGGG
rnacentral:rRNA from 1 species